UCAUCUAUUUUCUAUAUCCUCUUAAGUCUCAAUCUUAAUUCUUAAGAUUUAAUUUUUAUCCCAUUUAAGUCUCAUAUUAUUAUAAUACAUAUAUUCUAAUUCUAAAUUUUCAUAUUUUAUCAUAAUAUAUAGAAAUCUCAUAUUUUCUAUCAAGGGUUGGAGUUUCAAAUUACAAGUUACAACUUACAACAAACUACAAGCUCCAAGAAUCGGUUUAACCUCUUCUAUUAACGCAGACGUUUGGUGAAGAAGUAAAAGUUGAUUCGGGAGAAGAGGAAUUAGAAGAUACACCUACUAGUCCGAUGACACAAGUUCCACAUGAAACAACAAAUUUAGCAGAGCAAAAUUAUGGAUGUCCACCCCUUAUACCUCCCACAAGGCAGAAGAUGAAGCAUCAACGCCCUAAAAUUUGUAUUGUAUGACAAUUUAUGACUUCCGAUAAGAAAAAUAAUGUUUCUAUUUGUAAUAAGUGUAAGCAACCUUUAUACAUAGACAAGGUUGGGAUCAAGGUGGGACGGGGGGCUUAAAUAAACAUUUGUUAUCUUGUGUGCCGAUUCAAUAUAAAGAAGCCAAAACAUUAACCCAUAGAAAAAAAGAAAUUCCAGUUAAUGAUUUUGAUAGUAGUGUUAAUGAACCGGUAGGGGCUUCUAAUUUGGUUCAAGGAACAUUAGAUCCUUCUAACCACGAUGGUCCACUAACACAACGUAAAUAUAAUAAGGAAAGAGAUCGUGAAAAUUUAGCUAAAAUGGUUUCUGUUUGUGGUUUGCCUUAUAGUUUUGCUUCAAAUUCGAUUUUAUUGAAUGUAUUCAAUAAACUUAUAAACUUAUACUGUUAAAUAUGAUGUUUUUGUAUAUCAAGGUAAA